UACAGAGGUGGCAAGCGUUGUUCGGAAUUACUGGGCGUAAAGGGCGCGUAGGCGGCUUGGUCAGUCCCGUGUGAAAUCCCUCGGCUCAACUGAGGAACUGCACGGGAAACUGCCUGGCUUGAGUUCGGGAGAGGGAAGCGGAAUUCCGGGUGUAGCGGUGAAAUGCGUAGAUAUUGGGAGGAACACCAGUGGCGAAGGCGGCUCUCUGGACCGGUACUGACGCUGAGACGCGAAAGCCAGGGGAGCAAACGGG
rnacentral:rRNA from 1 species